GCCUUACGGGUAGAUCUCCCACCCUUUGUAUACUAUACCUUUGUUGCUUUGGCGGGCCGCCUAGCUACUGGCUUCGGCUGGUAAGUGCCCGCCAGAGGACCCAAAACCCUGAAUUAUUAGUGUCGUCUGAGUAAAAAGGUUAAUAUUUAAAACUUUCAACAACGGAUCUCUUGGCUCUGGCAUCGAUGAAGAACGCAGCGAAAUGCGAUAAGUAAUGUGAAUUGCAGAAUUCAGUGAAUCAUCGAAUCUUUGAACGCACAUUGCGCCCCUUGGUAUUCCGAGGGGCAUGCCUAUUCGAGCGUCAUUAUCACCCCUCAAGCCUAGCUUGGUGUUGGGGCCUGCUGUAAGGGCAGCCCCUAAAAUCAGUGGCAGUGCUGUCAGGCUCUAAGCGUAGUAAUUUCAUCGCUAUAGAAACCUAGUGGACACUCGUCAGAACCCCCCCAUUUUUAAUGAUUGACCUCGGAUUAGGUAGGGAUACCCGCUGAACUUAAGCAUAUCAAUAAGCGGAGGAAAAGAAACCAACAGGGAUUGCCUCAGUAACGGCGAGUGAAGCGGCAAAAGCUCAAAUUUGAAAUCUGGCUCUUUUAGGGUCCGAGUUGUAAUUUGUAGAAGAUGUUUCGGGUGUGGCUCCGGUUUAAGUUCUUUGGAAUAUUACAUCAUAGAGGGUGAGAAUCCCGUAUGUGACCGGCAGCCUUCGCUCAUGUGAAACUCUUUCGACGAGUCGAGUUGUUUGGGAAUGCAGCUCANAAUGGGUGGUAUAUUUCAUCUAAAGCUAAAUAUUGGCCAGAGACCGAUAGCGCACAAGUAGAGUGAUCGAAAGAUG
rnacentral:rRNA from 1 species